UACAGAGGGUGCGAGCGUUGUCCGGAAUCACUGGGCGUAAAGGGCGCGUAGGUGGCGGCCCAAGUCCAUGGUGAAAGCUCGAUGCUCAACAUCGAGUCGGCCACGGAUACUGGGUUGCUCGAGCACUGUAGGGGCAGAUGGAAUUCCGGGUGUAGCGGUGGAAUGCGUAGAGAUCCGGAAGAACACCGGUGGCGAAGGCGGUCUGCUGG
rnacentral:rRNA from 1 species